GACGAACGCUGGCGGCGGGCCUAACACAUGCAAGUCGAGCGGAGCGGCGGACGGGUGAGUAAUGCCUAGGAAUCUGCCUGGUCGUGGGGGAUAACGUCCGGAAACGGGCGCUAAUACCGCAUACUAUCAGAUGAGCCUAUGUCGGAUUAGCUAGUUGGUGGGGUAACGGCCAACCAAGGCGACGACCCCUAACUGGUCUGAGAGGAUGACCAGUCACACUGGAACUGAGACACGGUCCAGACUCCUACGGGAGGCAGCAGUGGGGAAUAUUGGACAAUGGGCGCAAGCCUGAUCCAGCCAUGCCGCGUGUGUGAAGAAGGUCUUCGGAUUGUAAAGCACUUUAAGUUAGGAGGCGUUACCAACAGAAUAAGCACCGGCUAACUCCGUGCCAGCCGCCGCGGUAAUUC
rnacentral:rRNA from 1 species